GCUAGACCAGGUCUUCCUUUAUUCUCAACUGGUAAUUGCUUUGAUUAGAUAACUGGUUCCUGAUUUGAUUAUGAAGCUAAACUUUUGAUUGAUAUGCAAAUGUAGUCACAUUAGAUUGUAGGUGUUAUUCAGACCAUGGAUAAUGUUAUGAUAUACUUUAAAUCUGGCAUUUGUUGGCACACUUUUGAUAUCCAUUUAAGUCUUAAACUUUACGCACUGCCAUCAGCCUUUGUAGUCGCUAACUGAAAUCAAAUUCAAUAUUAAUGCUGACUUGUCUCACGCUGCCAAGUUUAUUUCCCUCUAAAGGAGUUGAACCUUUUUGUGUUCAUAGUCUUUUUGCGCGUCAUGUUGGGAGGCCUCCCAGCAGGGGAUUUUUAUCUUCCCCUGCAAAACUAUGCGUUAGUCGCCUUAGGGAUGCAGGGCUAUCCUGCAUAGUUUCUUUCAUAAAUUAGAUUGUAGGUUGCAGGAUUAGAGCGCGUUUCUUUUCUUUAGGAGGACACAAACCUGGCAGAGAGACAACUCGGAUUAUUUAAGUGAAAGUUGCGCCAAAUGAUCGAACUUUUAUCUUUCGAUACGAUGACUUGAAAUAAAACUUUUAUUCUGUGGGCUGAAUUAAGACAGAAAUCAGACAGAAUUUGGCUUUAUGUUAAAGACUGUUGUGCAAGUACCCUCUUAUAGCAGGAGUGAGCAGCUGCAGCUUUUUAAUGUAUUUUUCGUUAUUUGAUUUGUUUCUUGGAUUGACCUGGUGUCUUUGUGGUUAACAGCGAUCAUGUAAACGUGGUCUUUUGCCUCUUAUUUGCGAAGCUGGCAGCUGGUUGAAUUGAUAGGGCUUUAUGGCUUGCCCAAAGUGGGAUUUUUGAUGGAGCAUAGGGUUAACACCUCACCAUACACUAGCUAUUUCAGCGAACAAGUGUCUGUAGUCUGUUAUUACCCAUGACUUUCUUUCAAAUUUCACAAUUUAGGCAGCUUGUAGAGUCAUUAGGAAGAUGCUUAAUCCCAAUGUCUUGGUUGGUUGCAUGAGAAACUGCUAUCUCAUAGAUGUGUUGGUGAAGUUCCUCCUCUGAUUUUUGUAGACUUGCCCUAAAGUUUCUCUCCGCUUUAACUCUUGCUGAGCUAUGCAUUAAAUGAUUCCUCCAACUUGUCUCCAUAUCAAUUUUUUUCUCCCUGCAGCCUUCCACCACUCACUGCUGCUGUUGCAUCUGCUAAAGGUAGCCGUAUCCUGAUUCACUGCGUCUUCAUGUGUUGGGUAAGAAGUGUCAUUAGACUACUAACAAUGUAAACACCUUUUAAAUGCUUGAUCUAAUUUACCCAAAUGGUUCAUCAGUUUAGGACAGAAAAUCAUUGAAUUUGACAUUCUUGGGGUCAGUAACCUGACCUCUAAAUGUUUGGGAAACCAUGCAAAAGAUCGCACCUUCUCUGCAUGACCCAACAGCAUCGAUGUUUGAGUUAUUUAAUUGCUCAAUUUUUAAAUCAGUCAAGAUUUUAUGAGCUGGGUCUUCUUCACACAACAGAGAACAAGGUAACUUGAGUCGACUCGUAACAUGGUAAGGCAUAUCGUCUUUCCCCUUCUUCUCUGUGUGUGAGGAAAUCUGGCCACGGAUCCUGACUGAGUGGCAUACCAUGGCUGUGCAGUUUCCAAAAUCAGAUAAGGAUCCAUCUGAUUUUGUGACUCGGCCUGUUGUGAUAUACAUGUAUCUUCCUCCGAAACAAAGGAUUAGAAUGGACAGGUUUGUAGUGUAAAUCACAUCACAUCACUUGUAGAUGGUGAAGCAUUUGUUUAAAUUGGGGUCAAGCAUUUUAAGGUGUCUGCUUUGUCAAUACUCUGGUGCCACCUCUUGCUAAACACACGAGAAGCUCUGAAUUGUGAAACUGCUGCCUCUUGCAGAUGUUACAACAGCAAUGGUUGUUGAAAGGCUGCAGGGAGAGAAAAUGAGAUCUGAGGACAGGAAAGUGGAAUUGAUUUCAUGCUUAGCAAAAUGAGGGUUUCAGCAGAGGACCUUUUUGUGGCGAGGCUACAGAAUCAGAAGGAACGUUUGUCUGGGCAACUGGAAGAUUUACAGUUUUUCAUGCAUCCAACAAGACAUUGGGGUUAGCAUCAUCCCAGAUGGUUGGCAAAGAUUGCUUGUAACUGUCAGUGUAGGACAGGAAAGGCAGGUAUAGGUUAGGGAGGGCAUCCAUCGGUGAGCUCUGACUGGAUGUGAGGACCUGUCACACUUGACCUGAGAUGAAGGCUGCAGCACGUUCCUGGAUCAGAGGACUCCAUGUUGGACACCACGACCUGGAGAAUUCCCGUCCUGGAUGGCUGCGGUGAAGACCUAGCCCAAGAUGAACCGACCCUUCUACGACGAGGACCUCGCCCAAGAUGAACCGACCUUUUCCACCUCUUCCACGGGAUGUCUUCAGAUGUUGGACCUUGGACACUGCUACUUUCAGCCUGUUUCAGUCUGUUAAAGAUGACCCAACAGCAUCGAUGUUUGAGUUAUUUAAUUGCUCAAUUUUUAAAUCAGUCAAGAUUUAAUGAGCUGGGUCUUCUUCACACACAGAGAACAAGGUAAAUUGAGUCGACUCGUAACAUGGCAAGGUAUUUCUUCCUUCCCCUUCUUCUCUGUGUGUGAGGAAAUCUGGCCACAGAUCCUGACUGAGUGGCAUACCAUGGCUGUGCAGUUUCCAAAAUCAGACAAGGAUCCAUCUGAUUUUGUGACUCUGCCUGUCAUGAUAUGCAUGUAUCUUCCUCCGAAACAAAGGAUUGGAAUGGACAGGUUUUUAGUGUAAAUCACAUCACUUAUAGAUGGUGUACAGACACUGCUACUUUCAGCCUGUAAUGUUUGACAUUGAAAACUUGUAAUUAUUGCCUUCUUUAUAUCAAGUAAAACUUUUGUUCUUAA